rnacentral:rRNA from 1 species
GGUCACUGCUAUUGGGAUUCGACUAAGCCAUGCGAGUCGAGAGGGUUCGGCCCUCGGCUGACGGCUCAGUAACACGUGGAUAAUCUGCUCUUAGGUGGAGGAUACCCUCGGGAAACUGAGAAUAAUACUCCAUAGGUCUGGGAUGCUGGAAUGCACCUAGGCUCAAAGUUCCGGCGCCUAAGGAUGAGUCUGCGGACUAUCAGGUUGUAGUCAGGGUAAUGACCUGACUAGCCUACGACGGAUAUGGGUUGUGAGAGCAAUAACCCAGAGAUGAUAUCUGAGACACGAUAUCGGGCCCUACGGGGCGCAGCAGGCGCGAAAUCUUCACAAUGUGCGAAAGCACGAUGAGGGGAUCCCAAGUGCUGGCACGUAAGUGUCAGCUGUUUCUUUGUCUAAAAAACAAAGAGAGUAAGAGCUGGGUAAGACGGGUGCCAGCCGCCGCGGUAAUACCUGCAGCUCAAGUGGUGGCCGCUAUUAUUGGGCCUAAAACGUCCGUAGCCGGUUUAGUAAAUGCUUGGGUAAAUUGUGUAGCUUAACUAUACGAAUACCGGGUAGACUGCUAAACUUGGGACCGGGAGAGGCUAGAGGUACUCCUAGGGUAGAGGUGAAAUUCUGUAAUCCUAGGGGGACCACCAGUGGCGAAGGCGUCUAGCUAGAACGGGUCUGACGGUGAGGGACGAAGCCCUGGGGCGCAAACCGGAUUAGAUACCCGGGUAGUCCAGGGUGUAAACGCUGCUUGCUUGAUGUUAGUUGGGCUCCGAGCCCAACUAGUGUCGGAGAGAAGUUGUUAAGCAAGCUGCCUGGGAAGUACGGUCGCAAGACUGAAACUUAAAGGAAUUGGCGGGGGAGCACAGCAACGGGUGGAGCGUGCGGUUU